rnacentral:lncRNA from 1 species
CUCGAGCCGUACCUGUCGGCGGGAUUUCCCGAGCCCUGCCCGGCUGCCCCGGGAGCGGCGUGGCGAGCCGGACUCCGAGCCGACCCGACCCGACCCCGGGGCAGCACCGGAGCGGACCGGGCAGCAGUGGGCGCUCGCGAUCCUCCUCGGCCCGACACGCUCUCCCUGCGGGCCCGGCCUCCUCUGUCCCCUCCUCCCGCUCCCGCUCCUCCCUCUGCUCCUCCCCUCGGCGGCGGUGAUAACCUCGCCUCCCCGCCUGCAAAGUCCCCGGCGCGAGGGCAGCCGCGAACCGCCGCUACCGCCGGGUCUCCGCGGGCGCCUGCGCCGGCGUAUCGCCCGCCGGCCCGGAUAGUCCUGAAAAAACUCGCUCCGCUGGCCGCCGGGGCUCCACGGCGCUGCCCAUGGCCAAGCCCAGGAGCCGACUUCGGGCGCCGGACCGGCUGGACCGCCGAGGCGCGGCUCAGUGCAUUGCAAGAGGUCUCUAAUGUUUGCAAAAUGGGAACACGGCAUCCGUCCUGGAGGAGCCUAUGGCCCAGGAAAAGGGAUGUGACUGCAUAUCCUGCCAUCUGUGAUAGAAAAUUGGACAGAGAGGAGGGGCAUGAAGGGUUGACCACGGAUCCCUGCUGGACCAUCUGGAGUGGAUGUGGCCCCCACAUCAGAAAUUACAGGACCCACCAGCUACAAUCCAGAGGCACCUCGCCCAGCCAACAGGGGACCCCUCUGCAGCUUCAGACAAAGCUGAAACUUCACUACUUCAUGAUGUUGCCGGGAGCCUCCCUUCCUGUUAUAGCCUCCAAGGGACAAUAAAAAAGGAAACCUCCUGCCUUCCUGGCCCCAACAUCCCAACUCUUACUUUUUAACAUUCAGGCCCUCUUGCCUCCAACCAGAUCGAUACAGCAUGAUCUCUCACAGAAAAUCACUUCAAAAUGAUGUGCCUUUGGCAAAGCAAGCCACUGAUCAGACCCUCUGUGGAUCAAUGACAGCACCCUCAGGACAGAGGUGCGUGCUCUUUCCUUAUUACAAUUUAAGGAUCGUGCUUAACCUUACAACAAGGGUGCCCUUAAAGGCUUAAGUAGGUGACUUUUGAUCCAGGUCUUGAAAUGGAAGAAACUUUGCAAGGGGUGGCAGUUAAAAGGGUGGGAAUGCCAGCAAGAGAGACUGCCGUAUGCAAAAACAUGCAGGUGAGAGCCGAAGUAGUAAAAGCAAAAUUAAUAAUUUACUGAGCAUCUAUUUAUGCCAGGAACUGUGCAGGGAGAUUUAUAUUCUCACAAAAACACUGCUGCUGCUGCUGCUAAGUCACUUCAGUCGUGUCCGACUCUGUGCAACCCCAUAGACAGCAGCCCACCAGGCUCCCCCGUCCCUGGGAUUCUCCAGGCAAGAACACUGGAGUGGGUUGCCACUAGAUGGUAACUAUUUUUAUCUUCAUUUUAUACAAGAAAAAAAUCUAGGACUCUGGGAGUUCAUGCAACUUUCCAGAGGUGACACAGUUGUUCACCAAUGGAGAAUUUGAAUGUUGAGCUGGCCGACCAGAAGCUCACUCUUUCUAGAAGGAUAAACACAGUGUAGAGGCGAGGCCGAUCUAGCCUCCAGGGUCUGUCUUCAGACACCUGUUUAUGGGAAAGGAAUUCUAUUUGCUUGUUUAUAUUUCAAGUGAUGGCUUUAGAAUUUGAUGAGUGAGGCAGAAAUUACAGGAAGGGAUUUAGAGAGGUUUUAUUCCAUGAGAAGUUGUGGCCCCUCUGUUUCUUUGGGGCAAAGGGAAAGUGAAAGCGUUAGUUUCAGGCCCCCUGAAAUGUAGGCCAUGUAAGAAGCAGGAGAAAGACACGGGAAAGCAAGUCCUGCAGUUUUGCUUGCCAACUUCCUCCUAGCAGCUAGCAGACACUUCCUAGGUCCUGGAGGAAAUGGACCCACUGUUGCUUUCCCUCCUGGGCAUGUCCCUGAAUCCUGAGGUGACACCUCCCUUGAAUCAUGGGCCCUGACAGUACUGUUUGCACAGGUUUUUGCGAGUUACUUUUCUGGUGCCUAGGAACCCUUUCCAUUUCCUUCCACAGUCUCACAGAACUGAUGUUCAGUGAAUAAAGGCUUAUAAUUGAAUCAGAGAAUAUUACACUUGAAGUAAUUAUUCACAAUCAUUGAGUAUAAAUACCUCUGUUCAUAGUCAGGAGAAUGGAGACAUAAGCUUGUUGAAUUGAUUAAUCUGUUUAUAAAAGUUGGGUAUACACACUCAUACACACAUACACACACAAUACACUCACACACACACACUCAUACACCCACACACUCUCACACUCAGACACAUACACACUCAGACACUCUCACACAGACUCACACACAUAUACACUCUCUCACACACAUACACACUCACACACACUCUUACACACGCACAGAAUAUCAUAGGCUUUGGUGUCACCCAUUAUAUAUUUCUGGGCUUGAACUCUGAUUCUGCCACAAACUAGUUUCAUUGCCUUGCAGAAUUUUUUCAACUUGAAUCUCAAUAUUAUCAUCUCAAAUAAAAAGUGGGCUCAAAUAAGUAACUCACCAGGGUGUGGUGGGAAAUAUGAAAUGAAAGCAUCACUUUAGAGACAGCUGCUAGAAGUCCUGGAAACUUCCAGUACAGUGCAGGCUUGGUCUGGCUACCAGCCUGAAGUGAAGUCACUCAGUCCUGUCUGACUGUUUGUGACCCCAUGGACUAUAGCCCACCAGCCUCCUCCAUCUAAGGAAUUUUCCAGGCAAGAGUACUGAAGUGGGUUACCAUUUCCUUCUCCAAGGGAUCUCCUUGACCCACGGAUCAAACCUGAGUCUCCUGCAUUGCAGACAGACGCUUUGCUGUCUGAGCCAGCCGGGAAGCGGUUACAUUCAGAUCUCUGCUCUGUCCCUCAGUACCUGGGUGACCUUAGUCAAGUUACUUAACCUCUCUGUGCCUCAGCUUUCUCAUCUAUAAAAUGGGGAUUACAAUAAUCACAUCUGCUUCACAUGAUUGUAAUGAAAGUGAAAAUGUAGUUUUUAAACACCCACCCCCCACAUCUCUUUCUCUCAAGGCAAAUGAACCGGACUUGCCACAUCAAAAUAUUCAGGAGGUAUUGACUGACACUAGGAAAGGAAGGAGCUUCUGGACUAUUUUAGACGUGACUCUGAUCAAUUGGGCUCUUUGAUCACUGAGCAUGGGACUUAACCAUAAAAUGACACAGCAUACCGGAGGCUGGUCUAUCCCAGGAGAAGUUACAUCAUUUUUCUGCCUGACACUCUGUUUGUGGGACUGGGAGACAAGACAAAAUAGUUGUGCUCUCCCUGAGACACCAGCCCUUGAAGGAGUCCCAGGGCAUGGCCAGCAGAAGGGAGACAUUGUGUUAUUUUGUUUGUGACUGUUAUUGCUGUGUCUCUUUCAGUGUUCACAGCAGAACCCUUGCGGAUCUUGGGAGACUGGCCCUGUGGAGGUGGUGAUACAGGCCAGGGGGGGCACAGCGCCUGCAAGCUGCCUCCCCCAGUUUGCUAUGAGGGUGACACCGUGGGGUCCUAAGUGCCGAUCGACUUUCCCAGGCAUUCUUUCUCUUCUUGGAGGCCUUCUUUAUUAUGUAUCCACGUGGUCCCAUGUUGAUUCAUUUGACAGACAUUUGUUGGUAACCGCAACCUGCCAGGUACUGGACUACCAUAGUAGACAGGCAAAAAGCAUCACCCUCAGGGAAAUUAGAACAACACAGAGACAAUUACAGAGCAGCGUAGGAAGGCAGUUGUAACUGCAGAGGGAGGGCUGGGGAAACACAGAUGAGGAGUGUACAAUCAGCUGGGAAAAGGCUUCCUGGAGAAGGUAGAAGGGGAUGGGGUUAGGUACAACUAUCCACUCAAGACACCAGAUGCCGCAGCACCAUAGAUGGAAGGCUUGGAUGUUACCUCCUCACAUAAUCAGUCCAGUUCAGUCGCUCAGUCCUGUCUAACACUUUGCGACCUCAUGGACUGCAGCACGACAGGCUUCCCUGUCCAUCACCAACUCCCAGAGCUUGCUCAAACUCAUAUCCAUUGAGUCAGUGAUGCCAUCCAACUAUCUCAUUCUCUGCCUUCCCCUUCUCCUCCUGCCCUCAAUCUUUCCCAGCAUCAGGGUCUUUUCCAAUGAGUCAGUUUUUCGUAUCAGGUGGCUAUACUAUUAGAACUUCAGCUUCAGCAUCAGCCCGUCCUAUGAAUAUUCAUGGCUGAUCUCCUUUAGGAUGGACUGGUUGGAUCUCCUUGCAGUCCAAGGGACUCUCAAGAGUCUUCUCCAACACCACAGUUCAAAAGCAUCAAUUCUUUGGUGCUCAGCUUUCUUUAUAGUCCAACUCUUACAUCCGUACAUGACCAUUGGAAAAACUAUAGCUUUGAUUAGAUGGACCUUUGCAGGCAAACUGAUCUCUCUGCUUUUUAAUACGCUGUCUAGGUUGGUCAUAUCUUUUCUUCCAAGGAGCAAGCUUCUUUCAAUUUCAUGGCUGUGGUCACCAUCUGCAGUGAUUUUGGAGCCCCAAAUAAUAAAGUCUGUCACUGUUUCCAUUGUUUUCCGAUCUAUAUGCCAUGAAGUGAUGGGACUCAAUGCCAUGAUAUGAGUUUUCUAAAUGUUGAAUUUUAAGCCAACUUUUUCACUCUCACAUAAUGGAUGGAGGAAAUAGCGGAAGCCAGGAAGCAGACACUGUAGCCAUCUGUUUAAUAGUUAGUAGCAGGAGGUAGGCAACCUGGCAAACGAGUCCAAAAACACAUUUUCCACGAACUGUGCAUGACCUUGCAGGAUUGGACUCUAAAUCUCAGGAGAACGUGAUUCUUAGAAGCAUGUGCAUGAUUGGCAUCAAAUAUCCUGGGUUUCAGGUUGCCAGAUUUAGUAAAGAAAAAUACAAGGCACUCAAAAAUACACAAAGGACAUUUUAAACUCAACAAUAAGAAAAGAAACAACCUGAUUUAAAAAGAAAAAUGGGAGAAAGACUUGAACAAACAUCUUUCCAAAGAAGGCAUACAAAUGGCAAAUAAGCAUAUGAAAAGAUGUCCCAUAUCAUAGGUCAUCAGGAAAAUGCAAAUUUAAACAACAAUGUGGUACCAUUGUACACCUGUUAGAUGGCCAGAAUCCGGCCACUAGACAACAUCUAAUGCUGGUGAGGAUGUGAAACAACAGUAUGUUUCAUUCACUGCUGAUGGGGAUGCAGUCUGGUCCGGCUACUUUGAAAGAUAGUUUUGCAAUGUCUUACAAAACUGAACAUGCCCCUACCACAUGAGCCAGUAAUCACAUGCCUUAGUAUUUACCUAAAAGUUCUGAAAGCACCUAUUCACGCAAAAACCUGCACGUGGACGUGUAUAGCAGUUUAAUUCACCACCAUCAAAACUUAGAAGCAGCCAAGAUGUCCUUCAGCAAGUGAAUGGAUAAAUACCUGUGGUCCAUCCGGACAACGGACUAUUAUUUGUCCUAAAAAGAAAUGAGCUCUCAAGUCGUGAAAGACAUAGAGGGAACUUAAAUGCAUAUUACUAAGUGAAAUAAGCUGGUCUGAAAAGACUACAGUGUAAUUCCAAAUAUAUGGCA